GGGUCCGAUCAUACCAGCACUAAUGUAUCGGAUCCUAUUAUAACUCCGCAAUUAAGUGUGCUUGGGUGAGUGUAGUACUAGGAUGGUUGACCUCCUGGAAAGUUCUCAUGUUGCACCCC
rnacentral:rRNA from 1 species